UCAAAGCCUGAAAAGUUCCCAUCGUAAAAACAGAUCAGAUUCAACAGUCUCUUGUCCAAAAAGAAAGGUUGCUUGUUGAUAUCUCUCUGGCCUUUACCAUUUAAAUUGUCCAAUCUAACACAUAAACAUAAAAUAUGCACAAACUGAGUGUGGCUAGGAAAGUCACUGUUUUAAAAGUGUAUUUAGCAUGCUAAUGGACAAAUUUCACUUAUGUUUAUUUGCAGACCUCAUUUUAUUUCUUUAAUAGGUCAAGGGGAUGUUUUCAAUAAUAUGUUGAUUACAAUAUUACAGGAAAAAUACAACCUAUAAUUACAGUUCAGGUUGUAAAGUAAAAUUUAUACUUAAAAUUUGAAUGGCCAUACCUGAGAAAUUCCAAGGAUGAUCCAAGAGACCAGAUAUGUCCCUGAAGACUUAGACACACUUGCAUUUCAAAGUGCAAUGGACUGUACAGUAUUAACUGUAAAAGCUAAGAGGUAAAAGCUCUUAGGGUUUGCCUUUCUUUGUGCCUCCCACUCUCCCUCCCUCCCACCUCCCUUCACCACAUGACUUUAGUGGGCUGACAGACUUUUCUCUUUUGUUUAUGUGCACAGUUGUUUUUAAUGAGCAGUACACUCAAAAGGAACUACUCUGACUUCACAUCCCACCCUGAAAUAGCAGUAUUGUACCUGAAAACACGCAUUGCUAAACUAGUGAACAGUGCCUAAAUGGAAGCAUGGUGCAUACGAGCUCAGUGCAUUUUCUUUGAUGUUACUAAGGAGGGCACUGCAGUAAAAAAUACUUUCCUGGUAAAAUUUUGUAUAAAGUAAUUUAAAACAUCCAACAUUAAGAACUGUGAGAUAUUUCAUCAUAAAAAUGAAUUCAUAAAAAUGCAUACGUUUAAAAGUGGAAUAGACUACAAGGGUUGGUUACAAGGGGAGUGAAAUCUGAUUUCUUUUUGGAUAGUAUUUCCUAAUCAGUGGCUUUUCUGGCUAGAGACUUGGAAGCCUAAGCGGGUUUAAGUCUCAGCUCCUGGAUCUCCGCCCUGUGAGCCAUCCUCCCAGUGGAGCAGGCACUGCCUUCCUCUCUACUGCCCAGGGAGCGCGCUCUCACCUCCAGUUCCUUCCAUGAUAGACACGGUAACACCAACAAAAUUCUACUUUCAAAUGACUUAUGUGUCUAGAUCAGGUAAGGUCUUGCUGUAAUUUAAAUUUUUCUUAAUAAAGUAAGACUGCAUAAUUCUGUUAUCAUUAGCUUACAAGAUGUUUUUGCUUCCUCCUAGAAAACCUUCCCUUUUAUGGUUAUAUUGAUUACUUGUAAAAGAAUUUUGCUAUGCUUGGUACAAAGGAGUAUUAGGAGUGGCUGAUUAUGGCAGACAUGUAAGGCCAAUACGAACCUAUUAAAAUGCACAGCAUUUGGAGUUGGUAUCAUGAUAUAAGUCUUCUGUGUUUAUUGAAAGAAUACUGGCUAAUGUCUUCCCUGUUACGCAUGCCAAGUUGUAGGGGAGAGAUUGUGUUAUUUAUUUAUAUUUUUUAAACAAUCCAAUGGAUUUGUUUUUGUCUGUAUUUUGGGAAUAACUUGAAGGAUUUUUUUUUUUCUUUUUAGAAGAUAGAGAGUAUGUAUAUCUAUCUUUUAAAUACUAUAACCUAAUAUAUACAUAUAAAUUAUAACAUUGAAAAGUACAAAAAGCUCUAAUUAUUGAUGUUAUUUUCCUGGUAUUUAAUUUUUAUAAAUGGUUUUGUAAGUGAAUAAUUGUAGUAUUGCUUUUAAAUAGUUUAAAAUCAUCCUUAAAUAAGUUCUGAAUCAAUAUACUACCUUAGUACGAUAUUCUCAAGUGAAGUACUCUGAUGUGAAUUUGAAACAUGCCUGCAUUUCCUAAGUUCCUUCAUAUGUGUAUGUAUGUACACCAGUACCCAGAAAAGCAUACCAGAAGCCUGACUUCCAUGUUGCAUUGAUAAAGAGCUUCAUAUAAUUUUGCCUUCUAUAAUUCAAUUGCCUAGGUGAAAUAGAACAUAAAUCUCUUCAAAUGUCUGUCCGAUCGAAAUUUUCAAAAUGGUAACUUUUCAUUUGGGGGUUGCAUGAUGCCAAGUUUAUCUUUAAUCAGCCUUUAUUACUGGAUGUAAAACAAUGGAUGUUUUCCUACUUGGUCAGUAGGUUGUAGUUUUGUUUUUUUUGUUUUUUUUCCACUAGAUUCUCACUACAUUUUUAAAUCUGUAUUUGGAAAAACCUGCAAAGUGCUAUCAGUAAGUUAGUUAGCAUCUUUGUCUUAUCUAUGCAUAAUGUUUCUUAAUUUAACUUUGACAAACUCACUGACAUACAAUUCCUUUGUAGUAUUGUAACUUACUGUGCUGUAAUUAAUUUUUUUAAUGUUUAUAUGAUUCGUUAUUAAAAUAUAGGAUAUUGUAUAGUUUUGCAUGAAAUAAAUGCCAUCUCUAUAAGCUACAA
rnacentral:lncRNA from 1 species